rnacentral:pre_miRNA from 1 species
AAUAAACGAAUUUCUGUGUUUUUAUAGAAUUUUUGACUCUUCGUCUUAUUUGAAAAUUUUUUAUGAUUUAUUUUUUUAUUGUUACUACGUGAUAAAACAUAAGUAGGACUUUAAAUCCGACUAUUUUUUUAAAUAUUUUAAUAAAUUUUUCAAAUAAGACGGAUGAUUAAACACUGGACAUACAAAACUCAGA